CCUCGUGAUAUACCUUUCUAAGGCCAUUUCGGCUCAGCCCUUUGUGGCACUUCAGCAAAUCUUCAUUUUUAAUAGAGGCAAUUAGACAGUUUGACACAUCAUGGUAUUACUCACGUAAAACUACAUCAAAUAUUAGACUGAUUGUGAUACCAAACACUCCACACAGAUAGAUACACUGUGCAUAUAAGUGAUAUAACAUGUAUAUGGGGCAUAUAUAACUGCACAUUUCAUAAAUUCAAUUUUAGUUACCUAUUUACCUAGUUUUUUUUUGUGAUUCUGUUAUUUAUGUACUUGUGUUAUUAAACAAAGAAAACAAAAAAUGUUCAUUAGUAUUUAUUAUCCUCCAUGCACCCCCUGGAUUUUCCACCUAUCAUUAAUCAUUCGGCCUGCCCUACCCUGGAAAUUCCAAGCCACAUUAUUCAUGACCCCUCCCCUGGAUUUUCCACCUAUCAUUCGGCCUGCCAUCCCCGGAAGAAAGUCCAAAGCAUAGACCACCCCCUGGAAAUUCCAAGCCACAUUAUUCAUGACCCCUCCCCUGGAUUUUCCACCUAUCAUUCGGCCUGCCAUCCCCGGAAGAAAGUCCAAGCCAUAGACCACCCCCUGGAAAUUCCAAGCCACAUUUAUGACCCCUCUCCUGGAUUUUCCACCUAUCAUUGGGCCUGCCAUCCCGGGAAGAAAGUCCAAAGCAUAGACCACCCCCUGGAAAUUCCAAGCCACAUUAUUCAUGACCCCUCCCCUGGAUUUUCCACCUAUCAUUCGGCCUGCCAUCCCCGGAAGAAAGUCCAAGCCAUAGACCACCCCCUGGAAAUUCCAAGCCACAUUAUUCAUGACCCCUCCCCUGGAAUUUCCGAUAUCCUCUAUCCCCAGUGUGUGGAUAUAAAAUGCAAUAAGCCAAUGUAUAUUCCGAUGGCAAUUUUUACACCCUCGUUUAGGCAACGAAUUAUCGCUCAAUAUUCUAGCUACAAUGUUAUAGCUUGUACCAAAAUGUAGCUGAUUUCACCAGCUAUCUGACAAUAUGCGUACAAU